rnacentral:rRNA from 1 species
AUGGCUGUUUUCUUCAACAUGCUGACUAGGGUCAUCUGGGUGAUUGACCCACUGUACCACAACAAGUUAGCCUGCCCACCCACGGGGCAACGCGACGAGAUUAUAGCAUGGAAGCUGCAUGAUGCAUUGUUCACUUGUCUGAAUGAAUUCUACGCUGGAUGGCCAACUAGCAAGGAUAAUUGGACUCUCAAGUUCCCUUCCAUGACCAACUGCAUUUUCUCCCGUGCCGACACAGGCGGGUGUGUCCUCCAUGUGGCAAGGCACUUUGAUGCUCACAAGCUGAAAAUGCCACUCACCAAGUAUACUGUGUCCAAAACGAAACGGGAUGCCCUGCAUGAAUGUCUCAAGCUCCAGGGAAACUUCUCUUCCCUCGCCCAAGAUGCGUUCUGGAAGGUCCUAGCUCCUUCAGAUUCUGCAUUUGUCUAG